ensembl:snoRNA SNORD31 Small nucleolar RNA SNORD31
AUCUGGAAGUGAUGAGUUAUUUCUACCGCCCCAGUCUGAAGAUUCAUGACUGAUUGGUAUCCCCUCUGAUCAGGA